GUUAUGAGUGGUUGCUAGGCAGUUUUUAAGGCGUUGCUAAGUGGUUGCUAGAGCGGUGUGAUUUCUUGCGGUUGGUAGAGUUAGGGUGUUCUUAAUGGUUGCUAUGUAGUUGCUAAGGUAUUGUAUGGGUGUUCUGGGUGAUUUAAGUAUCUAGUUGUUGGGUUGUUGCUAGGUAUUUUGUAAAUGGUUGCUAUGUAGUUGCUAAGGUAUUGUUAGGAUGUUCUGAGUGGUUUCUAGGCAUUUGUUGAGGCAUUGCUAUCUAGUUGUUGGGUUGUUCUAGGGUGCUCGGCGGUUGCUAAGGCGUUUCUAAAUGGUUGCUAGCGUGCUGUGAGAGGUUGCUAAGGGGAUAUAGGACAGCAUGGUGAAACGCCGGCCUGUAAAUGUUCCCCUGAUACUGUGCAGCUGCUGAUACGCGCGGAUUGAUCUGAGUAAUGAUCUUCACAGCGUGAUCAGCGGUGUGUCGAUGCGCGUGUCCGCCAGCAGAGGGAGACAGGCGCGCGCUAGUGUCUGAACUCAAUCUCCAGUCAAUGUGUGUGUAUGUGUGUGUGUGUGUGUGUGUGUGUGUGUGAGUGUGUGACUGAGUGAGUGUAUGUGUGUUUGGCGCAGUCAUACAGAUGCAGCGUGUGUGUCCUGACAGCAGCAUGUGUGUGUAUGAGAGUGUGUGUUGAGCAGGUGUUUUCGCGAGGCGUCAGAGAGGGAGGGACACACACACACUCAUGAAGAGCAGCGGCACGGAGGCGGCGGGGAUCUUCGCGUUUUUUCUCCGGUUUCUGUUCUUCUUGUUCCUGAUCGCGGCGGCGGAGGGAACACUGUCUCUGCGCGUGCUGGCGGUGCUCUGCCUGCUGCUGUUCUGCUGCAUACACCUGAUACACAACCGCUGAGGAGAAGAGCAGUGUGUGUGUGUCUGAGGGAGACCGAGUGUGUGUUCGCCCGCGGAGUGUGUCUGCUGGAGCUGAGGUCCUCCUGAGCGCCGCUUGUUCAUUGAUGAGUGUGUGUGUCCGCGCCGCUCCUCCAGAUGAGCAAACACACACGCCUGUUCCUGCUCUUCUACAACGGCACUAAUGCGGAGUGAAGCCGCUUCAGCAGAGGCCAGUGUGAACGGGGCGCCGGGGGCCAGCGCGCGCAGCACUGAUCGACACUCUGAAAACCAGGACGCUGAAAAUCAGCAGCUCCAGAGGACACACACACACACUCACACACACACACUCACUUGCACACACUUACGCUCGCAAACAGAGAGAGAGGCUGCAGACCGAUUAUCAGUGUUCACAGUAGGGUAUGAAAGCGCUACAGCAUCAUGUGGUUUCUGAGAUGGAGGAGUGAGAUUUCGUCUGAGAACACACGAGGUGAGACGCACACACACACAC